CGCGGCCUAUCAGCUUGUUGGCGGGGUAACGGCCCACCAAGGCAUCGACGGGUAGCUGGUCUGAGAGGAUGAUCAGCCACACUGGGACUGAGACACGGCCCAGACUCCUACGGGAGGCAGCAGUGGGGAAUCUUGCCCAAUGGGCGAAAGCCUGAGGCAGCAACGCCGCGUGCGGGAAGAAGGCCCUCGGGUUGUAAACCGCUUUCAGCAGGAACGAAAAUGACGGUACCUGCAGAAGAGGGUGCGGCCAACUACGUGCCAGCAGCCGCGGUGACACGUAGGCACCAAGCGUUGUCCGGAUUUAUUGGGCGUAAAGAGCUCGUAGGCGGUUCGGUUAGUCGGGUGUGAAAACUUUGGGCUCAACUCAAAGACUGCACCCGAUACUGCUGUGACUCGAGUCCGGUAGGGGAGUGGGGAAUUCCUGGUGUAGCGGUGGAAUGCGCAGAUAUCAGGAGGAACACCGGUGGCGAAGGCGCCACUCUGGGCCGGUACUGACGCUGAGGAGCGAAAGCGUGGGGAGCGAACAGGAUUAGAUACCCUGGUAGUCCACGCCGUAAACGUUGGGCACUAGGUGUGGGCUCUUACCAACGGAGUCCGUGCCGUAGCUAACGCAUUAAGUGCCCCGCCUGGGGAGUACGG
rnacentral:rRNA from 1 species